GCUCGUUUAAAAUCCAUGUGCUCGCUUGCUGUGAGGACCCAUAUUCAAAUCCCAUGAAGCCCCAGUUCACACCCACUUACCUGAACCACAUUAUUUCAUUUAAUUCCUUGGGUUCCACCACUUUUAACUCUCAUACCUUCUUUUUUUUAUUCAUUGAAUCCCUGAUAGGCAGACACCUUUGAAUUAUUGCACGUCAUAUACC
rnacentral:lncRNA from 1 species